rnacentral:rRNA from 1 species
UACGGAGGGUGCGAGCGUUGUCCGGAAUCACUGGGCGUAAAGGGCGCGUAGGCGGCGCGGGUAGUCAUCGGUGAAAGUUCAGGGCUCAACUCUGAAUCGGCCGGUGAUACUCCCGUGCUCGAGCACUGUAGAGGCAGGUGGAAUUCCGGGUGUAGCGGUGGAAUGCGUAGAGAUCCGGAAGAACACCGGUGGCGAAGGCGGUCUGCUGGGCAGUAGCUGACACUGAGGCGCGACAGCGUGGGGAGCAAACAGG